GGGAAUGAAUUGUUUUCGACUUUCUAGCG
rnacentral:tmRNA from 1 species